AAGUCGUAACAAGGUUUCCGUAGGUGAACCUGCGGAAGGAUCAUUAUUGUAGGGACUCCGGUCCCCUCAAGAUGCAACCCGUGCCUUUUUUGUAGCCCGUAACGUUUCCUCGGCAGCCCCGCUGCCAGCGAGGACCCCCCCCAAACCAAACCUGCAAUCUCAGUAAAAAAUUCAGAAACCCCCAAAAAUUUAAAACUUUCAACAAUGGAUCUCUUGGCUCUG
rnacentral:misc_RNA from 1 species